UACGGAGGGUGCGAGCGUUGUCCGGAAUCAUUGGGCGUAAAGGGCGCGUAGGUGGCCCGGUCAGUUCGUGGUGAAAGCGCGGGGCUCAACCCUGCGUCGGCCAUGAAUACUGCCGCGGCUGGAGCACUGUAGAGGCAGGCGGAAUUCCGGGUGUAGCGGUGGAAUGCGUAGAGAGUCCGGAAGAACACCGGUGGCGAAGGCGGCCGACUGGG
rnacentral:rRNA from 1 species